GGAACCUUGGUUUGAGGUUGAGGGCCUGUUGGUUUUAAAGCAAUGGAAAUGGGAAAGUGGGUAUGGAGAUAUGGUAUGUUGAGGCUGGGACUGGGAUAGUGGGUAUGGGGGUAUGGUAUGUUGAGGCUGGGACUGGGAUAGUGGGUACGGAGGUAUGGUAUGUUGAGGCUGGGACUGGGAUAGUGGGUAUGGAGGUAUGGUAUGUUGAGGCUGGGACUGGGAUAGUGGGUAUGGAGGUAUGGUAUGUUGAGGCUGGGACUGGGAUAGUGGGUACGGUGGUAUGGUAUGUUGAGGCUGGGACUGGGAUAGUGGGUACGGAGGUAUGGUAUGUUGAGGCUGGGACUGGGAUAGUGGGUAUGGAGGUAUGGUAUGUUGAGGCUGGGACUGGGAUAGUGGGUACGGAGGUAUGGUAUGUUGAGGCUGGGACUGGGAUAGUGGGUAUGGAGGUAUGGUAUGUUGAGGCUGGGACUGGGAUAGUGGGUACGGAGGUAUGGUAUGUUGAGGCUGGGACUGGGAUAGUGGGUAUGGAGGUAUGGUAUGUUGAGGCUGGGACUGGGAUAGUGGGUACAGAG
ensembl:lncRNA